CGUUCUUACCGGUCGUGCCGCUGCGCAGGCUCAGCUGUUACGUGGGGGGAACUUCAGGCACUACUCCGCCCCGGGUGUGAAAUGACAUAUCCCCAUUUCCCAUGCCUGCGUCAAUUCUUCCCCUGCCCACCCGGGCCUCUCCUUUUCCUCUGCUGCUCCUUUGGUGUGUAACGUGCCAGGGUCAGGUGCACUGUCAGCGCCUCCUUGUCCAGGUACCGCUGUCUCUCCGGCAGUGGAGAGAGUUCUUGCAUAAAGUCUUGGCCCUCAGCAUAGUGUCAUUACGGGGAAAAAUAAGACCAAGCAAGUUGGCUCAACAAGACACAUUUUCAGGAGGCCUCUGCAUCUUCUCAUAGCCAUGAAGCAGAACACUCGGCGGUCUUGCUGGCCUUUAACUCAAAGCCUUUACGUUCCGGGGAAAAACAAGUGUCUAACCUAAAAACCACGACUGGAUUGCUAAGCGCUCGACCCGUUUCCAGCUAUUAAAAUCCACCGUCGGAGUGGUCCGUCACCACUUCGCAGCUCUGUGCGAGGAAGGGAUGUUUUCCUCCCUGAAGCAGGGUGAAUCUGGUGAGCAAACAGAGAUAAUAAAAACAUUCCUGCCCAA